CUAAGCUGGGAGUUGUUUCUCGGAGAAUAAACCACCCGAGGGAAGUGUACGGAAUCUUUGCUGGCGAGUCAUUCGUGUUAAUGCUGAACUUGGACCUCCUAAGUUUUCUCUUCCACCCCUGUUUGUGAAGAAUCUGGGGAGUUUGUGAGUGCAAACAUAUAUAUUUUUUUCAGCUGUGUGCGGUUGCCACGCUACACCUUCUCCCGCCGGGUAAAUGCAAUUUCAAAACUUACGGAAAAGUAAAAGGAACUCAGAAAAGUGCAGACUUGGCCCCAAGGUCCAAACUACGGCCCGCUUUGCUCCUGCCUUAUCCGCACUCAGACGCCACACGCUUUUUGGAGCUGGUCUGUCCAGAAGCUGUUUCUUAAGAACGACUGGUCAUGGUGCGUCUGGGCCGUGAGUAACGUGCCCAGCUGUUUUCUGCGCUUAAUUAACCAAGUCUGCAUGAUCUGAUUAACCCAGAUGUUAGAACAUUGAUCCCAGAGAAAGAAGAAACCAUCUGUGGAAUUUACCCCUGGAUGGACCUCUCAGUUGCUUGAUCUGAUGUCCUGAGAAUCCCAGAAUCCAAGGAGAACCCAGCAGCUUUUCACUGAGCAAGGAACUGAUCACACUAAAGUAAUGUAUGAUGGAGAAUGUCCUGAAAGUUGGCUGAAAGGCGCACUUGUCUCCAGGUCUAUCACUAGCUUAUACAAUGAAGAGAAGAAAAGUGUUUCCCUUGGUAGAUGCAGCCUAGGAAGUUCAUGGUUUGGUGAACAGUGACAUCGCAAUGUGUGAAGCAAAAUGUGGAAAGAGACAUACCAAACUCAUUAUAUGAGGUCUGAAAAUGGAGGAAAAGUUAUGCAUGAGGUUUGAAACCUUAUGAGAGUUCUGCUCAUCACCAUAGGCUGGAUAAUGGAGCCACCAUCUCAUAUGCUGCCAGUGGCUGAGCCAGAGAGAAAGAGAAGUUAUAUUCUUACCUACAAGUAAAUGUUCUGGCAGGAAGUGACACCUUCACUCACAACUCACAGGCCAGAGCUCUCAUCUAUCUCAACCACAGAAUGUCCAGCAAAUGCAAUCCUACCACAGUCCUGGAAAGCACAGAGCCAGAAAUAAUGGUGACAACACUGUAACUACCAGAGACGGGGAGCAGUUGCUAACAUGUUCUUCAUUCUGGUAUUGCUUAUACUUUUCAUUAAAAA